GAUCCUGUGUCCUCUCGAGUGAGCGUAGCUGCUCAGGUUCCCUGAAGCUGGUGAGAAAGCACCUGGGAUUUGGCCCUUCAAAGCUGAUGCAGGCUGUCUGGAGUGGGGUGACCAGAGCAAGGUGACCGGAGCAAGGCUUCCUGGAUCAGGAAUACAGACCUGGGAACCUGGAGAAUAAAGAUGGGAAUAAGUUUUGCUUCCUACUGCUCACCUUCUGUGGAACAAGCUUUUGGUACUGUAAAUGUGUAUUACUUUCACUGGUUAAUAAAGAGCUGACUGGCAAUUAGUUAGGCAGAAAAAAGUUAGGUGGGACUUGCAGACAAAAAGAGAGCUUGAAGUGGAAGGUAGAGUCAGCAAGACACAGAAGAUGAACAUGCCAUGUUGAGAAAAGGUACAACCACGUGGUAGAGUGUAGAUAAGAAAUACAGGUUAAUUAAAAAUAUAAGAGCUAGUUAAUAAUAUGCCUAAGCUAUCAGUCCAGUGUUUAUAAUUAACAAGUUUCUGUGUGGUUAUUUGGGAGUGGCUGGAGGGACAAAGCUGACCAGCAUUCCUGAAGAAAAACCCCACCUACACCUCCUCUUCUAUUUUAUGUGUUGGCAGCACACUGGCCUUAAAAAUUAGUUGUUGCCAGAUCUCAGAGCCGGCCUCAGUCCUGAAGAGAUCUGUGUGACACCUGGGCACCCUAGACUACUGAACAUGAACCUUACCAGCCUCCCAGAAGAUAAAGCAUCUUCUAAUGGAAAAUAUCUUACAUCAGGCAAUUGCAUUAAAUUCUAUUUCAGUAAUUAAAUGGGGGAGGAAAGCAAGAACAAAUCCAGAAUGGCCGGAGGGUAUGCUCUUGUGGUAACUGCUUCAAGGACACUGCCCAGGCACUUAAGGAAGGAAAAAGUAAAAAAACCUGUUCACUCACAGGUAGGAGUGUGUGUAUGCAUGCACACACACGUGCACACAUGUAUUAUAUGUGUAUCUCUGACAACUGAUGUGCCUCAUUAGGGUUUAUCUUUUUACCACAGGGGACUUAAGAGCCUUAAGAACAGUGUAGUUGUUCCUCGAGCUUCAGUAUGGUAGCUCAUCUCUGGGUUGCUUUACCUUGUCCAUUUGUCUCAGCCCUUCUAAAUCAGAGUAACCAAACACAUUAAAUUCCCUUUGAAAACACCAGAAAUGCUUUGUUGUCUAACCUGGGCUGUGACUAAUAAAACAUCACAUAUUUGACUAAAGUAUUUCUGGGCGAACUUUAAUUGAUCAUGAUGAAUUCUGCCCCUCUUAUAUUAUGAAAAACUUUAAACACUAUAUCCACUAACUAUAU